AAUCAACGCUGGCGGCGUGCCUAACACAUGCAAGUCGAACGAGAAAGUGGAGCAAUCCAUGAGUAAAGUGGCGACCGGGUGAGCAACACGUGACUAACCUGCCCUACAGUGGGGAAUAACCUUCCGAAAGGAGGGCUAAUACCGUAUAACGUCUAAUGGCUGAGAUGCCGAUAGACCAAAGGAGCAAUUCGCUGGAAGGAGGGGUC
rnacentral:rRNA from 1 species